CACGCAGGCGGUUGGAUAAGUUAGAUGUGAAAGCCCCGGGCUCAACCUGGGAAUUGCAUUUGAAACUGUUCCCCUUGAGUAUCGGAGAGGCAAGCGGAAUUCCUAGUGUAGCGGUGAAAUGCGUAGAUAUUAGGAGGAACACCAGUGGCGAAGGCGGCUUGCUGGACGACAACUGACGCUGAGGCGCGAAAGCGUGGGGAGCAAACA
rnacentral:rRNA from 1 species